CAGUCGCCGCGGGAAUACGUAGGGUGCAAGCGUUAAUCGGAAUUACUGGGCGUAAAGCGUGCGCAGGCGGUCCGCUAAGACAGAUGUGAAAUCCCCGGGCUUAACCUGGGAACUGCAUUUGUGACUGGCGGGCUAGAGUAUGGCAGAGGGGGGUAGAAUUCCACGUGUAGCUGUGAAAUGCGUAGAGAUGUGGAGGAAUACCGAUGGCGAAGGCAGCCCCCUGGGCCAAUACUGACGCUCAUGCACGAAAGCGUGGGGAGCAAACAGGAUUAGAUACCCCUGUAGUCCCUGUCUCUUAUAC
rnacentral:rRNA from 1 species